rnacentral:sRNA from 1 species
UCUUUAAGCUGUUUAAGGAAGAACAGUUGUGAUAUGGUCAUACUGUUAACAGUUCGAUGUUGUUCCAAGUGCAGUCUAACUUUAAACUGUAUGACCCCAAAAGCGUUAACUUUGUUAAAAAGGAUGGUCAACUGUUUCAAAAAGUACCGGGAAUUUCCUGGUUUACAAACCUCAAGAAAAACCAACAACCAGCUUGACUAAAAACAAAAUCACGCUAUCAGGGCAACGAACACAAAUACCCCAAGUUUGACUGGUAUGAUGCCAUUUUUGUCAGUAAGGUUAAAGAAAUUCCCCUAGACUGAUUUGGUUACAUGGGGGUGCCAUUAACCUUUCUCAAUUGCUUUAAUCCCAAACAGUUUGAGCUAAUUGAUUGUCUAGCCAAUCCCUAC